rnacentral:rRNA from 1 species
UUGCAUAUCAAUAAGCGGAGGAAAAGAAACUAACAAGGAUUCCCCUAGUAGCGGCGAGCGAAGCGGGAAGAGCUCAAAUUUAUAAUCUGGCACCUUCGGUGUCCGAGUUGUAAUCUCUAGAAAUGUUUUCCGCGUUGGACCGCACACAAGUCUGUUGGAAUACAGCGGCAUAGUGGUGAGACCCCCGUAUAUGGUGCGGACGCCCAGCGCUUUGUGAUACAUUUUCGAAGAGUCGAGUUGUUUAAU